CUAGCUUAUCUCUAAUUGUCACCCUGGAACAGUACACAUCUCCCUUAUGUCAUGUGUAGUGAAAGACAGCCUCAUCUAGGUCUCUGACGUUUCAGGACAAUUCAGUAACGUACUCCACAACCUCUGAAGUGUCACUCUUAUUCAAAUCAAAAGAGUGUUUCUGUUACCCAGACAUGGUAACAGAAUGUCUGUUGUGCAUGACAGCCUAUGGCAUCUAGGAAUAUGACUGAAUGGAAACCUGCACUGUUUUGGAUCAGCUACUGUAAACCAGGCUUUGCAGCAAGAAAAAAUAACUGCAGGAUGAUCUGUUCCAUGACCUUCCCUGACACUGAUUCAUUAGAAUCAGUUUGAGAAGUCUCUCCCAAUCUCACUGAAGACAUCUUCAUGGAGACUGUUUGUGAAGAAGACUCCUGUCACCAUCUGGACAUCUAUGGCCAUUCACUGGGAUGCUGUCUGAGAAUCAGGAACUGAACUUCACCCCAAUGACCCUAUAUGCUACUUCAUCCCUUCAGUCUGUGUUUCCUCUUCAUAUUAUAUUCUCUACUCUGGAAAGGUACCUUAGCUGCACAUCCCCAGUUACUUUCAAUUUGGACAGAAAUCUUCCACUCCUCACCCCUCCCACUAGAGGAUUUUGUCAGGGUGCAAAAAACAGAACCUACUUCAGUUUUGUCCUGGUACAAUUUUUUUAAGAAAACGAAGAAUAUAUUUACAGCUUUAUAU